UACAGAGGGUGCAAGCGUUGUUCGGAAUUAUUGGGCGUAAAGGGCGCGUAGGCGGUGCGGUAAGUCUGCGGUGAAAUCUCCCGGCUCAACUGGGAGGCUGCCGUGGAAACUGCCGUGCUUGAGUGUGGGAGAGGUGAGUGGAAUUCCCAGUGUAGAGGUGAAAUUCGUAGAUAUUGGGAAGAACAUCGGUGGCGAAGGCGGCCUGCUGGGCUGUGGCUGACGCUGAUGCGCGACAGCGUGGGGAGCAAACAGG
rnacentral:rRNA from 1 species